rnacentral:rRNA from 1 species
AACGAACGCUGGCGGCGUGGAUAAGACAUGCAAGUCGAACGGGGUCGUAUGAGAUUAUAUCAAGUGCGGUCCAGUGGCGGACGGGUGCGUAACACGUGAGUAAUCUGCCGGAAGGAGGGGGAUAGCCCAUGGAAACGUGGAUUAAUACCCUGUGUGGCCUCAACAGGCAUCUGUUGACGGCCAAAGGUGGCGCAAGCUGCCGCCUUCCGAUGAACUCGCGGCCUAUCAGCUUGUUGGCGGGGUAACGGCCCACCAAGGCGAUGACGGGUAGCUGGUCUGAGAGGAUGACCAGCCACACUGGAACUGAGACACGGUCCAGACACCUACGGGUGGCAGCAGUCGAGAAUCAUUCACAAUGGGCGAAAGCCUGAUGGUGUGACGCCGCGUGGAGGAUGACGGUCUUCGGAUUGUAAACUCCUGUCAUGUGAGAGUAAGAACCAGGGAGUAACUGCCUGUGGUUUUGAGAGUAUCACAAGAGGAAGAGGCGGCUAACUCUGUGCCAGCAGCCGCGGUAAUACGAAGGUCCCAAGCGUUGUUCGGAAUUACUGGGCGUAAAGAGUGCGUAGGCGGCUAGGUAAGUCAGAUGUGAAAUCCCGGGGCUCAACCCCGGAACUGCAUACGAUACUGCCUGGCUAGAGUAGUGGAGGGGCAUCUGGAAUUCUCGGUGUAGCAGUGAAAUGCGUAGAUAUCGAGAGGAACACUAGUGGCGAAGGCGAGAUGCUGGACACUUACUGACGCUGAGGCACGAAGGCCAGGGUAGCGAAAGGGAUUAGAUACCCCUGUAGUCCUGGCAGUAAACGGUGCACGCUUGGUGUGGGAGGAUUCGACCCCUUCCGUGCCGGAGCUAACGCGUUAAGCGUGCCGCCUGGGGAGUACGGCCGCAAGGCUAAAACUCAAAGAAAUUGACGGGGACCCGCACAAGCGGUGGAGUAUGUGGCUUAAUUCGAUGCAACGCGAAGAACCUUACCUGGGCUUGACAUGCAUCCCUAAACCGGUGAAAGCCGGGGAGCGGAGCAAUCCGUAAUUUGCACAGGUGCUGCAUGGCUGUCGUCAGCUCGUGUCGUGAGAUGUUGGGUUAAGUCCCGCAACGAGCGCAACCCUUGUCUUUAGUUGCCAUCAUUAAGUUGGGCACUCUAGAGAGACUGCCGGUGUCAAACCGGAGGAAGGUGGGGAUGACGUCAAGUCCUCAUGGCCUUUAUGAUCAGGGCUACACACGUACUACAAUGGCCGGUACAAAGGGCAGCGACAUCGCGAGGUGGAGCGAAUCUCGUAAAGCCGGUCUCAGUCCGGAUUGGAGUCUGCAACUCGACUCCAUGAAGUUGGAAUCGCUAGUAAUCGCGGAUCAGCAUGCCGCGGUGAAUAUGUUACCGGGCCU